rnacentral:snoRNA from 1 species
AUUGAGGUAUAUCCCAAUGGGACUUUUCCAGUAGCCUCAUACAGUUACUCUGUGGUUUUCCUUUACUUGCAGGACUUUCUUAGGCCUGUGGGAAGGAACUACAAAACAAUU